GGGUUGUGAGGUUAAGCGACUAAGCGUACACGGUGGAUGCCCUGGCAGUCAGAGGCGAUGAAGGACGUGCUAAUCUGCGAUAAGCGCCGGUAAGGUGAUAUGAACCGUUAUAACCGGCGAUUUCCGAAUGGGGAAACCCAGUGUGACUCGUCACACUAUCAUUAACUGAAUCCAUAGGUUAAUGAGGCGAACCGGGGGAACUGAAACAUCUAAGUACCCCGAGGAAAAGAAAUCAACCGAGAUUCCCCCAGUAGCGGCGAGCGAACGGGGAGGAGCCCAGAGCCUGAAUCAGCAUGUGUGUUAGUGGAAGCGUCUGGAAAGGCGCGCGAUACAGGGUGACAGCCCCGUACACAAAAGCGCAUGUGCUGUGAGCUCGAUGAGUAGGGCGGGACACGUGGUAUCCUGUCUGAAUAUGGGGGGACCAUCCUCCAAGGCUAAAUACUCCUGACUGACCGAUAGUGAACCAGUACCGUGAGGGAAAGGCGAAAAGAACCCCGGCGAGGGGAGUGAAAAAGAACCUGAAACCGUGUACGUACAAGCAGUGGGAGCCCCACCACUAAGCCAGUGGUGAACUCCACAUACGCAUCCUUUGCUGAGGAUACGGUUAACGGAGCGAAAGCGACGUUCAACCGCAAAAGAAGCAGAGGGGGCUUAGUGGUGGGGUGACUGCGUACCUUUUGUAUAAUGGGUCAGCGACUUAUAUUCUGUAGCAAGGUUAACCGAAUAGGGGAGCCGGAGGGAAACCGAGUCUUAAUUGGGCGUUAAGUUGCAGGGUAUAGACCCGAAACCCGGUGAUCUAGCCAUGGGCAGGUUGAAGGUUGGGUAACACUAACUGGAGGACCGAACCGACUAAUGUUGAAAAAUUAGCGGAUGACCUGUGGCUGGGGGUGAAAGGCCAAUCAAACCGGGAGAUAGCUGGUUCUCCCCGAAAGCUAUUUAGGUAGCGCCUCGUGAAUUCAUC
rnacentral:rRNA from 1 species